GCUCAGUCUACCAUUCAUUAUCCCAUGACAGUGAGGUUCCUAUCUUUAGUGCUCAGUCUACCAUUCAUUAUCCUAUGACAGUGAGGUUCCCUAUCUUUAGUGCUCAGUCUACCAUUCAUUAUCCCAUGACAGUGAGGUUCCCUAUCUUUAGUGCUCAGUCCACCAUUCAUUAUCCUAUGACAGUGAGGUUCCCUAUCUUUAGUGCUCAGCCUACCAUUCAUUAUCCUAUGACAGUGAGGUUCCCUAUCUUUAGUGCUCAGUCUACCAUUCAUUAUCCCAUGACAGUGAGGUUCCCUAUCUUUAGUGCUCAGCCUACCAUUCAUUAUCCCAUGACAGUGAGGUUCCCUAUCUUUAGUGCUCAGUCUACCAUUCAUUAUCCUAUGACAGUGAGGUUCCCUAUCUUUAGUGCUCAGUCUACCAUUCAUUAUCCUAUGACAGUGAGGUUCCAUAUCUUUAGUGCUUUGUCUGGCAUUGAUUCUCCUCUUUUCUGUUGUGGCCCAGCUAGUGUGUUUCCUCAAAACCGUUUUGACAAAUUAAUCUACAAUCAACUGUUGGUUUUAUUAGGAUUUGAAUGAUAAGAUUUAUGUUGUUUUUCUAUUUGAAUUAGAAGAUCUCUGAUGUUUUCUAUUUGAAUUAGAAGAUCUCUGUUGUUUUUCUAUUUGAAUUAGAAGAUCUCUGAUGUUUUCUAUUUGAAUUAGAAGAUCUCUGAUGUUUUCUAUUUGAAUUAGAAGAUCUCUGAUGUUUUCUAUUUGAAUUAGAAGAUCUCUGAUGUUUUCUAUUUGAAUUAGAAGAUCUCUGAUGUUUUCUAUUUGAAUUAGAAGAUCUCUGUUGUUUUUCUAUUUGAAUUAGAAGAUCUCUGUUGUUUUUCUAUUUGAAUUAGAAGAUCUCUGAUGUUUUCUAUUUGAAUUAGAGGAUCUCUGAUGUUUUCUAUUUGAAUUAGAAGAUCUCUGAUGUUUUCUAUUUGAAUUAGAAGAUCUCUGAUGUUUUCUAUUUGAAUUAGAAGAUCUCUGUUGUUUUUCUAUUUGAAUUAGAAGAUCUCUGUUGUUUUUCUAUUUGAAUUAGAAGAUCUCUGAUGUUUUCUAUUUCCUUUGAAACGCAGUUCGCCACAGGGUGAGCCACAUGUACAAGCAAAUAGACAUUAACUGGCAUGAGUGAACAACAUUUAUAUUGCACCCUGUGACACAAAGUUUUGGCCACAUCGGUUAUAUUAUUUCAUAUAAAAACAUGUAAAUAUGUAUAUUGUAAAUGUGUGGAAAAUUUGAAUAAAUAUCAAAUUUGUUUCAUA